rnacentral:rRNA from 1 species
GAUGAACGCUGGCGGCGUGCCUAAUACAUGCAAGUCGAGCGAACGGACGAGAAGCUUGCUUUUCUGAUGUUAGCGGCGGACGGGGGAGUAACACGUGGAUAACCUACCUAUAAGACUGGGAUAACUUCGGGAAACCGGAGCUAAUACCGGAUAAUAUUUUGAACCGCAUGGUUCAAAAGGGAAAGACGGUCUUGCUGUCACUUAUAGAUGGAUCCGCGCUGCAUUAGCUAGUUGGUAAGGUAACGGCUUACCAAGGCAACGAUGCAUAGCCGACCUGAGAGGGUAAUCGGCCACACUGGAACUGGGACACGGUCAAGACUCCUACGGGGGGCAGCAGUAGGGAAUCUUCCGAAAUGGGCGAAAGCCUAACGGACCAACGCCGCGUGAGUGAUGAAGGUCUUCGGAUCUUAAAACUCUGUUAUUAAGGAAGAACAUAUGUGUAAGUAACUGUGCACAUCUUGACGGUACCUAAUCAGAAAGCCACGGCUAACUACGUG